rnacentral:lncRNA from 1 species
GGUGUGUCUGGUCGAUCAAGAAGGAAGGGGGCGACCAGGGAUUUUCUCCAAGCCCUAGCUUCACACAAAACUCACAAAAUUGAAGCCUCAAAUCUGUCCUAAAUCAAGUCUCGAACAUAAAUUAGUGAUCACCUCGUUGAAAGGAUCAUAAGGCAAAGAGUCCGGAUCGUCAAGCGGACAAGCCGGAGGGAAUACACGUGGGAAAGGCGUGCUCUAAAGUUUCCAGGUAUUCAAAGUAGGAGGAUGGUGAUCAAGCAUAAGUAUCCGAACCGAACACUCAUACCAAUGCUUCCGCACUUGAACUGUUUUGCUUUUAAGUCUAUUUUCCAGGUAUUCAAAGUAGGAGGAUGGUGAUCAAGCAUAAGUAUCCGAACCGAACACUCAUACCAAUGCUUCCGCACUUGAACUGUUUUGCUUUUAAGUCUAUGUAAACACUUGUAGUUUCUAUCUCGAUUAUUGUCUAGUAGGAUUACUACGUGGAUGUUAUGUUUAGUUAUGAUUUAAAACCUCGAAAGCUUUUGUAAACUCUAAAUUUUUG